AGUAAAGCAAUAGCAAUACUAAAACUUAAAAAAAAACUUAAAAAUGAAGUUCCUUCUUUACACUCUUGUGAUCGUGCUGCUGGCCAUUCAGGUAGUCUACUGUGCAGAUAAGUGCCAUUGCCAUACUAAAGGAGGAGCCUGUCCGAUAGGCACAGGUGGCAGUGAGUCAUGCAACGACGGUGACAAGCCAGGAGUGAAGUGCUGCAGGGUCUAGGGCGAGUAAUGCACACCUGCCUUCCUUCUUUAGAAGAUCACAAUAUGAUGGGGUGAAUAAACUGUAACUCCAGACUACUAAAGUGUAUUAAAUAAAGAAGUUUAAUUCAAA